rnacentral:tRNA from 1 species
GCCUCAGUAGCAUAGCGGUAGUGCAUCUGAUUCGUAAUCAGAAGGUCGGGGGUUCAAAUCCCUUCUGAGGCU